GCCGGUGUCAAUGACGAUGAGGUUCCACCCGUUCCCAUUCCGAACACGGCAGUUAAGCUCAUCGGUGCCGAAGAUACUUGGAGGGAAGCUUCCUGGGAAAAUAGGUCGGUGCCGGCA
rfam:Ethanoligenens harbinense YTAN-3, complete genome.